ACUCAAAUGAAUUGACGGGGCCCCGCACAAGCAGCGGAGCGUGUGGUUUAAUUCGAGGCUACGCGAAGAACCUUACCAGGGUUUGACAUGUACGUAGUAGUGAAGCGAAAGCGGAACGACCCUUCGGGGAGCGUACACAGGUGAUGCAUGGCUGUCGUCAGCUCGUGCCGUGAGGUGUUUGGUUAAGUCCACUAACGAGCGCAACCCUUACCGCCAGUUAUACGUGUCUGGCGGGACUGCCGGUAUUAAGCCGGAGGAAGGUGGGGAUGACGUCAAGUCAGCAUGUCCUUUAUAUCCUGGGCUACACACACGCUACAAUGGGCCGUACAAUGGGUUGCCAAGCCGCGAGGCGGAGCCAAUCCUCCAAAACGGUCCUCAGUUCGGAUUGUAGGCUGCAACUCGCCUACAUGAAGUCGGAGUUGCUAGUAAACGCAGGACAGCUAUACUGCGUUGAAUACGUUCCCGGGGCUUGUACACACCGCCCGU
rnacentral:rRNA from 1 species